rnacentral:rRNA from 1 species
UGCGAUCCGUAGCCGGCCUGAGAGGGCGGUCGGCCACACUGACACUGACACACGGGUCAGACUCCUACGGGAGGCAGCAGUCGGGAAUUUUGGGCAAUGGGCGCAAGCCUGACCCAGCAACGCCGCGUGAAGGACGAAGCAUCUCGGUGUGUAAACUUCAUAAGAGUGGGAAGAAUAAGUGGGGAUUAAUACCCCCCAUGAUGACGGUACCACUUGUAAGCCCCGGCUAACUCCGUGCCAGCAGCCGCGGUAAUACGGGGGGGGCAAGCGUUGUUCGGAUUUACUGGGCGUAAAGGGCGCGUAGGCGGCGCGACAAGUCACUUGUGAAAUCUCCGGGCUUAACCCGGAGCGGCCAAGUGAUACUGUCGUGCUUGAGUGCGGAAGGGGCCACCGGAAUUCUCGGUGUAGCGGUGAAAUGCGUAGAUAUCGAGAGGAACACCUGCGGCGAAGGCGGGUGGCUGGGCCGACACUGACGCUGAGGCGCGAAAGCCAGGGGAGCGAACGGGAUUAGAUACCCCGGUAGUCCUGGCCUUAAACGAUGGAUGCUUGGUGUCCGGGGUGAGGAAGCCCCCGGGUGCCGGCGCUAACGCAUUAAGCAUCCCGCCUGGGGAGUACGGUCGCAAGACUGAAACUCAAAGGAAUUGACGG